rnacentral:rRNA from 1 species
UACGGAGGGAGCUAGCGUUGUUCGGAAUUACUGGGCGUAAAGCGCACGUAGGCGGCUUUGUAAGUUAGAGGUGAAAGCCCGGGGCUCAACUCCGGAACUGCCUUUAAGACUGCAUCGCUUGAAUCCAGGAGAGGUGAGUGGAAUUCCGAGUGUAGAGGUGAAAUUCGUAGAUAUUCGGAAGAACACCAGUGGCGAAGGCGGGUCACUGGUCCGGUACUGACGCUGAGGUGCGAAAGCGUGGGGAGCAAACAGG